rnacentral:rRNA from 1 species
GAUGAACGCUGGCGGCGUGCCUAAUACAUGCAAGUCGAGCGAACGGACGAGAAGCUUGCUUCUCUGAUGUUAGCGGCGGACGGGUGAGUAACACGUGGAUAACCUACCUAUAAGACUGGGAUAACUUCGGGAAACCGGAGCUAAUACCGGAUAAUAUUUUGAACCGCAUGGUUCAAAAGUGAAAGACGGUCUUGCUGUCACUUAUAGAUGGAUCCGCGCUGCAUUAGCUAGUUGGUAAGGUAACGGCUUACCAAGGCAACGAUGCAUAGCCGACCUGAGAGGGGGAUCGGCCACACUGGAACUGAGACACGGUCCAGACGCCUACGGGAGGCAGCAGUAGGGAAUCUUCCGCAAUGGGCGAAAGCCUGACGGAGCAACGCCGCGUGAGUGAUGAAGGUCUUCGGAUCGUAAAACUCUGUUAUUAGGGAAGAACAGAUGUGUAAGUAACUGUGCACAUCUUGACGGUACCUAAUCAGAAAGCCACGGCUAACUACGU